UUUCCAACUAUCCAAACAACCAGGAUGUUUUUUAUCACUGCAGACAGGGCUGCUUCUUUGAUCCACAAAGGAAAGAUAAGGAAUGGAGAUAACCUGCCACAAGAUGCAAAAUCUCUUUACAGGAGCCAGCUAAUGUUCUUGAAUGGGAGGGAACAGAAGAUUUUUGCUGGAACUGGUGGUAAAUUAUCAUUCUGCAAAUAUCCAAGCUGAGGGAGCCUGGACAGGAGCGAUCUUCAGCAAAGUAACUGUGGUUUGUCCUUAUUGUUGUUUCUAUUAUCUCAUAAACAUAGCAUCCACAUCACUUAAAGAAACAUGACAGAUCUAAAGUAAUAGCAUUCUCCGUCCCUAUGCAGCAGCAGUCAGACCUUUUCUUUGAUACCCCAUAAUAGUCCCUUUACUGAAAAUUCAUCCCCUAUGUACUAUAAAUUUAAACAAUCUUACCACAUACUGUUGCUUAUUGGUGCAAAGUGUACCCCCAGGGUUACUGCGUACCAUGUGCUUCAUGAGGCAAGUGCCAACAUCCCACUAUAUUAUUUAACACUAUUAUUAUGUAGUGGUGAAAGCCCAGCAGAGAGAUGCAACAAAGCAUAAAUUACUGAUUCCUUCUCAAUUUGGAGUGCAGGUUGAAGCAAUCUGUUGACAACUUAGUCACCCUUCUGUUUUCCCCCGGCACAUAUUUGCAUUCCUUUCUUCCCCCAAAUCUGUCAGGGCAAAAUUCACUUUCUAUAAAAAAACCCAGAAAACAAAA